rnacentral:tRNA from 1 species
AGUAAAGUCAGCUAAUAAAGCUCUUGGGCCCAUACCCCAAAAAUGUUGGUCUAAUCCCUCCUUUACUA